UACGAAGGGGGCUAGCGUUGCUCGGAAUUACUGGGCGUAAAGGGAGCGUAGGCGGGUUAUCAAGUUGGGGGUGAAAGCCCGGGGCUCAACCUCGGAAUUGCCUUCAAAACUGAUAACCUGGAGUAUGGAAGAGGUAAGUGGAACUCCGGAGUGUAGAGGUGAAAUUCGUAGAUAUUCGGAAGAACACCAGUGGCGAAGGCGACUUACUGGUCCAAUUACUGACGCUGAGGCUCGAAAGCGUGGGGAGCAAACAGGG
rnacentral:rRNA from 1 species